rnacentral:tRNA from 1 species
GCAUUCGUGGUGUAAAGGUAAGCACACUCGGCCUUUAUUCGACAAGUCCAGGUUCGAGUCUCGGCGAGGGCA